ACGCACGCUGGCGGCGUGCUUAACCCCUUCCAGUCGCACGGUGAAGCGCCUUCCUUUUUGGUGGGUGUGGAUGAGUGGCGAACGGGUGAGUAACACGUGAGUAACCUGCCCCCUUCUUCUGGAUAACCGCAUGAAAGUGUGGCUAAUACGGGAUAUUCUGGGUCUGUCGCAUGAUGGGUCUGGGAAAGAUAUUGUUUCGGUGGGGGAUGGGCUCGCGGCCUAUCAGCUUGUUGGUGGGGUGAUGGCCUACCAAGGCGGUGACGGGUAGCCGGCCUGAGAGGGUGGACGGUCACACUGGGACUGAGACACGGCCCAGACUCCUACGGGAGGCAGCAGUGGGGAAUAGUGCACAAUGGGCGCAAGCCUGAUGCAGCGACGCCGCGUGAGGGAUGGAGGCCUUCGGCUCGUGAACCUCUUUCGCCAGUGAAGCAGGCCUGCCUCGUUUGUGGGUGGGUUGACGGUAGCUGGAUAAGAAGCGCCGGCUAACUACGUG
rnacentral:rRNA from 1 species